rnacentral:misc_RNA from 1 species
GCCGUAUUUUGGAAACAUUUUUCAUUUCUCGCUCUCCCUGCCCUUAAUUUCUCAUCCACUGUCCACUCCUGCCUCCAGGUCUCUCUCUCUCUCCAUAAGUUUUGUCAACUGUUUUAUAACAUUCAAAAAAUAACAAACCAACAAACUAUACCAUACACACAAGCGAUUAGCGCAUUAUACAUCACAGCCCAAAUUUCUCUCUUCCCCGAUC